UCAUUCAAAUGGCCUCUUUAAUUGCCAAGAAAUGAAUAUAGACUAGAGGACCCAUUUUAAUUUAUGGCCGUGGAUGGAGCUUCACUCAGGGUUUGUGUUCAUAAAUGCACGUUUCUUCCACAGUAAGCUGCAUGAGCAGCCCUGUUGGAGUCUAACCAGCUGCCGCCAAUGCUGGCCCUUAGGGCCUGAUUACAGAGACUGGAUGGACUUGCUACUGCAUGCUGGUCCAACUCCUGCUUGGCUCCCACGUGGAAGUCACUAUCUUUUAGGCUGGCAUCCAAGUUUGACAUCGUUUAUCUACAUGAACAGGAAACACGUUUUCCCAGAAGGUGGAGGGGAGAAGGGCCCCCCCACCCCCAGCACUCCCAUGGCUGCAGCGCCCCUCGCUGGAGCGUGCACAUCUUCAUUUCCAGGAUGCAGCUGCAUUCCUGGCUGUGUGGUCCAUGUGAAUGUUGGUUUGUCACUUCUCCGUAAGCAGCGUGCAGAAGCAUGAUGUGCCUGGGACUUGGUAGUGCUACCAUCUAGAUUCUAUCUUUCUAACGAGCAGAAACAGAAGUUAUGCAGUUGCAGCAGUUGGCAGCCCUUGCUUUGGUAGCCUGAGUAAAUAUUCUUUAUGAUUUGAGAGAAGAGAUACACAUUGGGGUAGAACUACGAAUAGUCAGCCAGACCCUACCUACUGUUUUGGUCCACGAGCUUAGACUCUGGGCUACAGUACAGUCUAAUCGGAGUCCAGUCAUUCAUCCUGUGGAUGCACAGCUGGGGACACUGGGUAGAAAACAUGUGGAGCCAUCCCACCUCAUUUCUCAAGGAGGGGACGCUGAGAAGCAGAAGGGGUCUUGCCAACUGCUAUAGGGAUGUGGGUUUCAUCAAGCCAAGAGGAUUACUCAGGACUGAAUCUGAGUCCAAACACGCACAUAUAAUCCAUGAGCUAAGUGUUUAGGUUUCCAAAGCAAAGAUAAAAUAUGCACAGAGUCCAUGGUUUGAGCACUUAAGGAUUGAGGUUUAAGAAACCCAGAGGGUAGUUCCAAAUAAGUGAAGUUCAAAUGAGCGUGGAUAACAGAUGUGGGCUCAUCCCAGACAGCAGAAUGUAAUGUGGGCCGAUGAACCAGAGCCAUUUUGAGGCUGAAAAUGUCUAGUUGUCUCCUAUUUAAGUUCGCUUCAUGAAGUCAUGAGUGGGGCCAUGCAGAAUGAAGGAUUGACUGUGCUGGCGGGGGCACAGGUUGCAGGCCUCUGUCAGACUCUGCCUGGUUCCCUCCUUGGCACACAUUGUUACUGCCGAUGGAGGUGUGCAGCUCCCAUUAGCAGGUUCAAACCAGCCUUGUCUCUGGAACCAAACCUAACUUUAGACAAAAAAAGAAAAGCAACAUAAGGCUUAGAAUUAAGACAUCCAAGCUCGAAGUCAACCUUUUACUAUAUGUAAAGCUCUGUAUUGGACUUGUGAUUCAUUGAGCAGAUCCCAUUCCACAUUGUCUCCAGCUUCUGGAAAACUGUGCUUUUCCCAGUGAUGAAUUCUGUCUUGGUUUUUGACCAGUAUCUCAGUCUCUUUAGGACUGAGGCCGGUCUCUAAACCCCAGUGCAGUGGCCAGGAAAUUGUUGACAGACCUUAAAGAUGCAGGAAUUGUUUUGACAUAGACUUAGAAAAUAUCCUCUGGCGCCCUGUUUUCCAUACGAGGACUAUCAGUGUUAAUGCAUUCCCUUGGUUUGUGUUUGGAUAUUGCGUAUGGUCCAUCAGUCUGGAGUUUCUCCCUGUAUCUGCAUAAACUUCAGCGACUAUGUUUAGUUCCACCUCACGGCUUUUCCAACUGGCCUCAUACCAUUAUUGUGAAGCAGAGCAUUUCACUCACGUAAGAUACAGAGUUAUGCUGCCGUUCCAUUCCCCCUUUAUGUAAACCUAGGGCUGGCCUCCUUUGAAAUAAUUGCAAAAGACCAACAUCUGUGUGGCCUAAUGAAUAAUGGAAUUUAUUGCAUUGUAAUUUAUAAAUUUUUCCCUUGUUUAUUCAACAAAUAUUUAUUGGAGAACCAAUUGUAUGAUAGAUAACAGGAAUGAAAAGGUGAAUUUGGACACAUUCCCUGUUUUUAAGCAAUUUACAUUGUUGCAGAGGAGGCUUGGAAAUAAACAGUUAUGUUGCAAUAUGACAAGUGUUUAUAAAAGUGGCAAAUAGGGGCUGGCCCCGUGGCCGAGUGGUUAAGUUCGCGCGCUCCGCUGCAGGCGGCCCAGUGUUUCGUUGGUUCGAAUCCUGGGCGCAGACAUGGCACUACUCAUCAGACCACACUGAGGCAGCGUCCCACAUGCCACAACUGGAAGG
rnacentral:lncRNA from 1 species